GAUGAACGCUGGCGGCGUGCCUAACACAUGCAAGUCGAACGAAGUCACUUUUUUACGAUCCCUUCGGGGUGACGAAUUUGUGACUGAGUGGCGGACGGGUGAGUAACGCGUGGGAAACCUGCCUUGUACCGGGGGAUAGCAGUUGGAAACGACUGAUAAUACCGCAUAAGCGCACAGUAUCACAUGAUACAGUGUGAAAAACUCCGGUGGUACAAGAUGGGCUCACGUCUGAUUAGUUAGUUGGUGAGGUAACGGCUCACCAAGACUGCGAUCAGUAGCCGGACUGAGAGGUUGAACGGCCACAUUGGGACUGAGAUACGGCCCAGACUCCUACGGGAGGCAGCAGUGGGGAAUAUUGGGCAAUGGGCGAAAGCCUGACCCAGCAACGCCGCGUGAAGGAAGAAGGUCUUCGGAUUGUAAACUUCUUUUAUCAGGGACGAAGGAAGUGACGGUACCUGAUGAAUAAGCCACGGCUAACUACGUG
rnacentral:rRNA from 1 species